rnacentral:snRNA from 1 species
AUAUCUUUCUUAGCAUUUUGGCUAGAUAAAGUGCAAUAUCUAUAGUUUAAUAUCUGGUAUGUGGGUCAUAUGUCCACUUCAGUUUAAAAUUUAUUUUUGUAGAGGGUCCACUUUAAUUUUAAAUUUUUUUUGUGGGAGGGUCCACUUUAAUUUACACUUGCUUGCCAUUGGACUCUCAAAUA